UCAGGAUGAACGCUAGCGGCAGGCUUAAUACAUGCAAGUCGUGGGGCAGCAUGAAGUAGCAAUACUUUGAUGGCCCCCGGCAAACGGGUGCGGAACACGUACACAACCUUCCUUUUAGUGGGGAAUAGCCCAGAGAAAUUUGGAUUAAUACCCCGUAACAUAGCGCAUGAGGCAUCUCAUUGCUAUUAUAGCUUCGGCGCUAGAUGAUGGGUGUGCGUAUGAUUAGAUAGUUGGCGAGGUAACGGCUCACCAAGUCUACGAUCAUUACCUGAUGUGAGAGCAUGAUCAGCCCCACGGGCACUGAGACACGGUUUUUACUCCUACGGGAGGCAGCAGUAAGGAAUAUUGGUCAAUGAACGAAAGCCCGAACCAACCAUGCCGCGUGAAGGAUUAAGGUCCUCUGGAUUGUAUACUUCUU
rnacentral:rRNA from 1 species